CCUAACACAUGCAAGUCGAGCGGUAGCACAGAGAGCUUGCUCUCGGGUGACGAGCGGCGGACGGGUGAGUAAUGUCUGGGAAACUGCCUGAUGGAGGGGGAUAACUACUGGAAACGGUAGCUAAUACCGCAUAACGUCGCAAGACCAAAGUGGGGGACCUUCGGGCCUCAUGCCAUCAGAUGUGCCCAGAUGGGAUUAGCUGGUAGGUGGGGUAACGGCUCACCUAGGCGACGAUCCCUAGCUGGUCUGAGAGGAUGACCAGCCACACUGGAACUGAGACACGGUCCAGACUCCUACGGGAGGCAGCAGUGGGGAAUAUUGCACAAUGGGCGCAAGCCUGAUGCAGCAUGCCGCGUGUGUGAAGAAGGCCUUCGGGUUGUAAAGCACUUUCAGCGGGGAGGAAGGCGGUGAGGUUAAUAACCUCAUCGAUUGACGUUACCCGCAGAAGAAGCACCGGCUAACUCCGUGCCAGCAGCCGCGGUAAUACGGAGGGUGCAAGCGUUAAUCGGAAUUACUGGGCGUAAAGCGCACGCAGGCGGUCUGUCAAGUCGGAUGUGAAAUCCCCGGGCUCAACCUGGGAACUGCAUUCGAAACUGGCAGGCUAGAGUCUUGUAGAGGGGGGUAGAAUUCCAGGUGUAGCGGUGAAAUGCGUAGAG
rnacentral:rRNA from 1 species